rnacentral:tRNA from 1 species
ACUAAAUUGGCAGAAUAGUGCAAUUGAUUUAGAAUCUUUAUAUAAAAUUUAUUUUAUUUAGUA